rnacentral:rRNA from 1 species
AGGACGAACGCUGGCGGCGUGCUUAACACAUGCAAGUCGAGCGGUAAGGCCCUUUCGGGGGUACACGAGCGGCGAACGGGUGAGUAACACGUGAGCAAUCUGCCCUUCACUUCGGGAUAACCACCGGAAACGGUGGCUAAUACCGGAUACGACCAGUCUCUGCAUGGGGUGCUGGUGGAAAGUUCCGGCGGUGGGGGAUGAGCUCGCGGCCUAUCAGCUUGUUGGUGGGGUAAUGGCCUACCAAGGCGACGACGGGUAGCCGGCCUGAGAGGGUGACCGGCCCACUGGGACUGAGACACGGCCCAAACUCCUACGGGAGGCAGCAUGGGGAAUAUUGGAGGAUGGGCGGAAGCCUGAUCCAACAACGCCCCGGGAGGAUGAACGGCCCUCCGGUUGGAAACCUCUUUCAUACCCGACAAACCCGAGUGGCCGGUAGGUACAAAAAACCCCGGCCAAAUUCGUGGCCAGCAGCCGCGGGUAUUCUUAGGGGGCCAAGCGUUUUCCGGAAUUAUUGGGGCGUAAAGGGCCCUUAAGCGGUUUUGUCCCCGCCCGGGGGGAAAAAUCGGGGCUUUACCCCGAACCUGGGUUUCCAUAACGGGGGAAAUAAAAGGUAGGGGGGGAAAAAGGGAACCCUGGGGGAA